UACGUAGGGGGCAAGCGUUGUCCGGAAUCAUUGGGCGUAAAGCGCGUGUAGGCGGCCAGAAAAGUCCGCUGUGAAAACUCGAGGCUCAACUUCGAGCUGUCGGUGGAAACUUUCUGGCUAGAGUCCGGAAGAGGAGAAUGGAAUUCCUGGUGUAGCGGUGAAAUGCGCAGAUAUCAGGAAGAACACCCGUGGCGAAAGCGGCUCUCUGGAACGGUACUGACGCUGAGACGCGAAAGCGUGGGGAGCGAACAGG
rnacentral:rRNA from 1 species